CUUUACCAACUGAGCUCUCAGGGAAGCCCUUGGAUUCAGAAAUGCGGCACUUAUGGAUGACCAAGUAACGAGGCAGUUGUGUGCAGAAUGACAGAGACAAAGUCCGAUGGAGGGGAGAAAUGUCAUCACGUGCAGUUUAUGACAGUAACCCAAGGGAAGAGGUGAGAUGACAUGUGAGUGUGAGCUUGCGAGGGAGCCGUGGGCCGGCACAGUGACCGAUGGCCUACCCGCUCAGGUGAGGACAUGGCAUCCAGGACCAGGAAGCAGGCUCUCACCAGACACGAAAUCUUAACCUUCACCUUCCCAGACUCCAGAAAGAGCCAUCAGUGGGACAUAUCUUGAAAAGCAUGACAUAGCUGUCACCGAUUAGCUGAUGAAACAUGACGUGCGUGCCCGUGAGGCCUGGACCAGACGUGGCAACCAUGCCCUGCUCAGCUUCCUGCAUCAGCAAAGCCCAGUCUUGGAAACUCUGCCUGAGAUCUCUCCUCCACUGAGCAAACAUGAUGUCCCCGACCAGCUCACAUCAUUCGUGUUCCUCUCCUU
ensembl:lncRNA